AUUGAACGCUGGCGGCAGGCCUAACACAUGCAAGUCGAACGGUAACAGGAAGAAGCUUGCUUCUUUGCUGACGUGUGGCGGACGGGUGAGUAAUGUCUGGGAAACUGCCUGAUGGAGGGGGAUAACUACUGGAAACGGUAGCUAAUACCGCAUAACGUCGCAAGACCAAAGAGGGGGACCUUCGGGCCUCUUGCCAUCGGAUGUGCCCAGAUGGGAUUAGCUAGUAGGGGGGGUAACGGCUCACCUAGGCGACGAUCCCUAGCUGGUCUGAGAGGAUGACCAGCCACACUGGAACUGAGACACGGUCCAGACUCCUACGGGAGGCAGCAGUGGGGAAUAUUGCACAAUGGGCGCAAGCCUGAUGCAGCCAUGCCGCGUGUAUGAAGAAGGCCUUCGGGUUGUAAAGUACUUUCAGCGGGGAGGAAGGGAGUAAAGUCAAUACCUUUGCUCAUUGACGUUACCCGCAGAAGAAGCACCGGCUAACUCCGUGCCAGCCGCCGCGGUAA
rnacentral:rRNA from 1 species